GGGUCGAUGAUGAGAACCUUUUAUUAUCCUGAAGAGAGGUUAUGACUUAAAAUUCAUGCUCAAUAGGAUUACACUGAGGCUC
rnacentral:snoRNA from 1 species